rnacentral:rRNA from 1 species
ACGUAGGGGGCAAGCGUUAUCCGGAAUUAUUGGGCGUAAAGAGUGCGUAGGUGGUUUUUUAAGCGUGAGGUGAAAGGCAAUAGCUUAACUAUUGUAAGCCUUGCGAACUGGAAGACUUGAGUGCAGGAGAGGAAAGUGGAAUUCCUAGUGUGGCGUUUAAAGGCGUAGAUAUUAGGAGGAACACCAGUGGCGAAGGGGACUUUCUGGACUAUAACUGAAACUGAGGCACGUAAGCGUCGGCAGCAAACAG